rnacentral:misc_RNA from 1 species
UUAAUCCACUUUACACCUGUGCACUUAAUGUAGGUCGCCCUUAAAAAAGGUGACCUAUGUCUUAUCAUCAACCCAUCGUAUGUCUCAUAGAAUGUAAUCGAUAUCCUCGCCCUGAAAAAGCGUUGAUAAACUUAUACAACUUUCAACAACGGAUCUCUUGGCUCUCGCAUCGAUGAAGAACGCAGCGAAAUGCGAUAAGUAAUGUGAAUUGCAGAUUUUCAGUGAAUCAUCGAAUCUUUGAACGCACCUUGCGCUCCUUGGUAUUCCGAGGAGCAUGCCUGUUUGAGUGUCAUUAAAUUCUCAACUCCAAGGGUUUCACGACCUUUCGGAGAUUGGACUUGGAGGUGCUGGCCGCAUAUUGGUCGGCUCCUCUCAAAUGCAUCAGCGGAAUUCAACCUUUGGCUUCCGGAUGUCAGUGUGAUAAUCAUGUUGCGCUGUCGUUUGAUCCCUCAGAGUCCGCUUAUAAUGGUCUUCGGACAAAAUCAUCAUCAAAUUUGACCUCAAAUCAGGUAGGACUACCCGCUGAACUUAA